AAGAAGUUGUUUUUACUCUCAGUGAGUGAGACGACAUCAACCAGCGAAUUCACGUAAUAAUUAUUACAAAAUUGUGUUGUUUUUCAAUGCCCUAUUUGUAUAUUUGUACGUUUUUUUUUAUCUAUCUAUCGUUUAGACUUCAUUAUUUCUCAUUAUGGCACAUAGCAUGAACCCAAACACACGAGCCGCCAGACAAUCUGAGCUCAAAUAUCGUUCGCCCACACCAGACUGUUUAUUCUGGUCAUCAACAGCUGGAGAGAGAUCAUGUAGAGACUGUCACACCGCGGCUUCUGAUAGUUCAGUCUGAGCAGAUGGACAUCAUGAAGGAGAUUAGCAAAUGAGAUCCAGACCUUGUUGACGGCUGUGGCUGACUGGCUCCAUUCGCUAUUUUCCUGGGAUCUCCAGGACACAACGUCUGACAUGCCUUCAUGGAGGUUUAGCAGAACUGGGUUUGAUGAGACCCUCGGGAAUGGACCUGGACCAUCCAGAGCACAAAGUGUGUGGUGGUCUACUGGGACAGAGUGUGCCAGUGGAACAGGGAGGAUCCGGUUCACGCGGCCCACUCAGGUUUCCUCAUAUGGCGCUCUUGUUACAGUCCUGCCAAGGUGUGACUUUCAAGGUUCCUCACGUUACUUUUCCGAACGGAGUGCACUAAUGUGACGUUUCUUCCUCCGGAUAUCGUUCCAAGUUGUCACACAGUACAUCUGCUUUCUAGAGCAUGCUGGCUAUUGUUGUGGUUUUGUACAGGUUCACAUGCUGCUCUGACAUCAUGGAAAAGCUAAUAAACAAGAAGCAGAUUGAACUGGG